rnacentral:rRNA from 1 species
UCGAGCGGAUCGUUUAUCGGGGAAUCUUCUGAUGGAACCGAUGAAAGAUAGCGGCGGAACGGUGAGUAACGCGUGGGUGAUCUACCCUUCAGACUGGGAUAACACCGGGAAACUGGUGCUAAUACCGGAUACGGUCUACGGGAGGCAUCUUCAUGUAGCAAGAAAGGUGGCUCACGCUACCGCUGAAUGAUGAGCCCGCGUCCCAUUACCUAGUUGGUAAGGUAACGGCUCACCAAGGCAACGAUAGGUAGCCCGCCUGAAAGGGUGCUCGGCCACACUGCCGACUGAGACACGGCCCAGACUCCUACUGGAGGCAGCAGUGGGGAAUCUUGCACAAUGGGCGAAAGCCUGACGCAGCACCGCCGCGUGAGCGAUGAAGGCCUUCGGGUUGAAAAGCUCUGUCAUCAGGGACGAAAUCUUAAAGGCGAAUAGACUUUGAAGUGACGGUACCUGACGAGGAAGCCCCGGCUAACUACGUGCCAGCACCCGCGGUAAAACGUAUGGGGCGAGCGUUGUCCGGAAUUACUGGGUGUAUAGGGCGUGUAUGCAGCCUGGCAAGUCAGAUGUGAAAAAGCCCGGCUUAACCGGGAGCAUGCAUUUGAAACUGCCGGGCUUGAUGGCACGAGAGGAGAGUGAAAUUCCCGAUGUAUCGGUGAAAUGCGUAGAUAUCGGGAGGAACCCAGUGAUGAAGCCACUCUCUGGCCUGGCCUGACGAUCAGGCCGAAACAUGCGGAGCAACCCGAUUAGAUACCUGGUAGCCACGUCGUAACGAUGGUACUAGGUUAGGAGGUAUUGAGCCUUCGUGCCGGACUGACGCAUUAGUGCCCGACUGGGGAGACGGCCCUAGGUGGAACUCACGGAAUGACGGGGCCGCAAAACGUGGAACUGUGGUUUAUUCGAGGGACGGAAUAACUUACAGGCUUGAAUCGCUGACCGUCUAAAAAGAGUUUGCUUCGAGACAGCAACAGUGGUCAU